rnacentral:lncRNA from 7 species
CUGACCUUGCAUUCCCUUCCUCCUCAACGCCAAUGCAUGAUCAACACCGCGUGCUCCCGCGUAGAAACGCCAUACCAGCGGUCACGGCGCCACCUAGGGGCGACAAUUAACAUGCAUGGAGGCCGAGAUUGGUAGGCUUCGGUUGGGGUUGUGUUGCUGAUCAAGCAUUAAGGCAGGCUCCCAGCGGUCACUGGCUUGGCUCCUGUUGGUGUUGCCGACGGACACAUUGCCAGACCUGCUUGCCGAACUGACCGUGAGGAGUGGCGACAGGGUUGCUCUGGUCGUGGGCGACGGCCGAAGUGCGCCCUCUACAGCGAGCUAUGACUGAGUAAACGGCCGUGAGGAGCGGCGACACGAUUGCUGCUCUCGUCAUGGGCUGAGGCCGAAGUGCGCCCCUCUACAGCGAGCUACGUACGUGAAUAAACGGGUUCACGCAAGAUCCGUUUGAACCUUGUGGUCUAGUGUAAAGCUAGUUUGUGUAUAUGGAUGUCUAUUCUACAAGUUUAGGGAUCUAAAUUAUAGUAUUUUCUGUUAAAAUUAACGAUCAACUA